rnacentral:lncRNA from 1 species
CUGAUUAUAAUAAUGGGAAGCACAUUGCACGUUCUGCUGCAGGGACAGGUAAAAGGAGCAUCUAACUCUCAAAAUGAAGUCAAGAAAAAAUGUCUCCAGAGCCACACUUCUGCACCAAGUCUCUCUGGAUCGUCCAGGACAUUCUCCAAGACUAUUCUCCAGGACUGGGGAGCUUCAAUCCUCACCGUCAUUUUGGCCAUCAUCUACUGGCUCUCAGUGCAGGAAGUGUGGCAUGUUCAAAAAUGAGACAGAGGUCCUCUAACACAGAUCCUUCUGGCAUAGACACUUCAGCUUCCGACACUGGCCCAUACAUCGCAGGUCCUUCAAACUGCCAUCACGGGUCCUUUGGCCUCCUGAUGUGGACUUGCAUGGGACCUUGCCAUGGGCUCCAAGCCCUCGACUGGAUCCUUUGGGUCUCCAGCAUGCACACAGACAUUGUGUACUCUUCUGCAUCUGACUCUAGUAAGCAUUGAUAACUUCCCCCUAUAUAGUAUAGUUGAUAUAAUAU